CAAAUAUAUACUAGUUCAGUGAUAAUGAACGCCAUACUAAUUUCCAAAUUGUACACAAGAAACUAAAAUAAAAAUAAUACAAGACUAACAAAGGCCAGAGGCUCCUGACUUGGGACAGGCGCAAAAAUGCGGCGGGGUUAAACAUGUUUGUGAGAUCUCAACCCUCCCCUAUACCUCUAGCCAAUGUAGAAAAGUAAACGCAUAACAAU
rnacentral:lncRNA from 1 species